UAUGCUGAAGGCUUAGCAUUGCAAACUUGGAAUAUAGCAUCAGUACAGUUGAAGUUUCUCUUAUUAUGGAAUAGGUGAGCUAGUUAAGGCAUGCAAUGAGAGAAAUAUCCAUCAGUGAGGAUCUCUCGAAAAUAGCACCUAAAAAGGUUUUCAUCAGAGAAAGUAAUCUUAGUGGAUUAACAGUUUGGACUGUAAAUGUUUUCUGGCCUGUUGAGAGCGCAUCAAUUAAAAAAUAGUAUUGCCAUUCAUGGACUGAAUCUGACAAAUACAGAAAAUUCCAAGGUCAGCCGUCCACUCCAGCCUCAGUUGCCCUGUUGUGGCCUGGUUGUUUCUGUAGAUGGGUCUUAGAAAGAUUCCCUUACAUGAUGUCCCUUCUGCACACUGGAUACUUUGGGCAGCGUAGGGAGUUUCGGGCUAAUUUUAACAUGAGGCAUGUCACUGGAGACACUCAAAGUUAAAUGAAUUAACUACUAAAGAUGUGAAGCUAAUGGGACACUAAACCCCCUGUGGAGGUUGUCGUUUGGAAGUAAAGUGACCUUAGUCGGGUUUAGUUUAAUACAAUUUAACCAAUGCGCAUUAAAUUGACUUUGCACAGACACACUCAGGUCAGUUAGACAAGCCCUGAGACUUAAUGGCAGCGUCUCUAAUGUUGUAUACUGUAUGAUGAUAAACCUCGACAGUAACAUUGUGACUCAAAAUUUAAAAUAAAGCUCUCCAGAGGAAUGGGCAGGAAUUGUUUGUGUUGUUUGAAUUUGGUGCUUGUGAAAGUAGUGAAUUGAUGAUGCUCCUAAGAUCAUAGGCAUAGGACUGUGAAGCACAUGCUUGCAUGCUUUUCUGAAUGGGGGCCAUUGGGAAUAGGGGCUGUGCAAGCUUCCCAUCCCCCACACAACUUUACCAGAGCUCUGCAUACUUUCUCAUGCACCUCCUGUUUCUCCUGAGUAGAUUGCUAACUCUGCAUUAUUCCAAAUUGCACUCUGAAUUUAUAGAUAGUGCACCUAUUGCCCUUCAGAGGCUAAAACAACUUCACGUUAUGGCUUAUGCUACAGUUUGAACCUACGCUUCCAAAGUGGAAAGGAAGGCUUGUGUGUUUAAAUGGCAUGUAAGUGUGUUAACUUUGAAAGAGGACAGUGUUUUGCGGACUCCUUUGGGGUUGGAUAGCAGUAAUAUUUCUGCCCGUUGAUUUGAGUUUUAAAUUAAUCCAGUCUUCAUCUUUCUUUGCUCUGUUCACCUCUGCUUUACGUUUGUUAUACAUCACAACACAUGCUCAGGAAUUGUAGAGUGAUUAUGGUGUGUCUCCACUAAAGCUGGAAGGUGCAAUUCCCAGCUCACGUAGACAUAAUCACACAAGUUCUAUCUAUGGUUAGUGUGCUAGCUCUGAAGUGUAGCUACCCUGAAUAUAGUCCUAGGGUCUCAGACAGGAUCAUACUGAGGCAGCUAGCCUCUUACACCAUACAGCAACCAUUCUGUUUUUAGUGCACUACCUGGAUCAGAGCAAAGGCUGGUGUGUCUGCUUGAGCUGGAACUCACACCUUCCAUCUCCAUUGUAGACCUACCCAAAAUUUUUUCCCUCUCAGCUCCAGCUGGCCUACAUUUCUACCUGCUAAGCAGUGAACAAUCACUAAAAACAGGAAUUUCAGUACUGCUGCCUGCAAUGGUGCCAGUAAUAGCUAGUCAGGCUAAACAAAACAACAGCUUAUCCUUUAAUUAAAGGGACAUCGGCAGCCCAACAUGAAACUUUCCUCAAAUGUUCGAGAUCAUGGAGGUCCUGAUUCCUUAUCAUCUUUUCUAUUUUGUUGCUGAGAAACUUUUUAAAGACUGAAAACAGAUGGAAUAAUCAUGAUUUUUCUCAACCACUCAUGUAUGUUUGUUACAGUUCUGAAGCAGUUAACUGACAAACCUUAUUCUGAGUGCUAGGCUGACACUGAUCAUGUUUUGUGUACAAACAAGGAUGAUUUGUCAUGACAAGUGGAAAAUGGUGUUAAACAAAAGGAGCUGUGUUUAUUUCAACAAAGUGCUGCAGGAGAAGAAUCAAUAUUUACCAGAAGGCAGAGAAGUCAUUCAUUAGGAGGGAAAUGUUAUAUCCAGGCCUCUAACAAAAUAUUAAAGAAUGGACAGUUGUGUGAAACUAUAUACAGUUGGUUGUCAAUCUUUUUUUUUUUUUUUAAAAGUGUAUCCUUUUUUGUUUUUAACUUCGGAAAUAGAAUAUUAGGUCAAUGUUUAAUAGUUCAUAUACAGGGCCUGUCCUUCAGAUUGUGUACAUUGUCAUAGCUCUAUUGAAGCCAGUGGAGCUAUGCUGACCUCAGCAGCUGAGAAUCCAGUCCAUUGUCCUUGUGUAUUAAGAUCUUGCAGAAAAGCUAAGACACGAAAAUGAGUUAAACCUAGCUAGGGACAUAAAAGGCAAUAAGAAGAUACCAGUCAGCCUAACUUGGAUACCUGGAAAAAUACUGGAACAAAUUAUUAAACAAUCAAUUUGUAAGCACCUGGCGGAUACUAGGGUUAAAAGGAAUAGUUAGCAUGGCUUUGUCAAGAACAAAUCAUGCCAAACGAACCUAAUUUUCUUCUUUGACAGGGAAGUAGUAGAUAUAUCACAUCUUGAUUUUUAGUAAGGCUUUUGGCAUAGUCCCACAUGAUGAUGUCAUAAGCAAAUUAGGGAAAUGUGGUCUAGAUGAAAUUUAUUAUAAGACGGGUUCAGAACUGGUUGAAAGACCCUACUCAGAAUAGUUAUCAAUAGCUCGCUGUCAAACAGGGAGGAUGUAUCCAUGGGACCUGCAGGGGUCAAUCCUGGAUCCAGUACUAGUCGAUAUUUUCAUUAAUGACUUGGGUAAUUAAUGACUUGAGCAUAUAAAGUUUAUAGAGCUUAUAAAAUUUGCAGAUGACACCAAGAUGGGAGGGGUUGCAAGCACUUUGGAGGACAGGAUUCAAAUUCAAAACAACCUUGAGAAACUGGAGGAUUGGUCUGAAAUCACAAAGAUGAAAUUCAAUAGACAAGUGCAAAGUACUUCAUUUAGGAAGG